rnacentral:rRNA from 1 species
UACAGAGGUCUCAAGCGUUGUUCGGAUUCAUUGGGCGUAAAGGGUGCGUAGGUGGCGGGGUAAGUCAGGUGUGAAAGUCGGGGGCUCAACCCUCGAAUGCCGGUGGAUACUGUCGGGCUCGAGUACGGGAGAGGCGAGUGGAAUUCCUGGUGUAGCGGUGAAAUGCGCAGAUAUCAGGAGGAACACCAAUUGCGAAGGCAGCUCGCUGGAACGUUACUGACGCUGAGACGCGAAAGCGUGGGGAGCAAACAGG